ACGCCUGUAAUCCCAGCACUUUGGGAGGCCGAGGCGGGGGGAUCACGAGGUCAGGAGAUCAAGACCAAGGUGAAACCCCGUCUGUAUAAAAAUACAAAAAAAUUAGCUGGGCGUGGUGGUGGGCGCCUGUAGUCCUAGCUACUCGGGAGGCUGAGGCAAGAGAAUGGUGUGAACCCAGGAGGCGGAGCUUACAAUGAGCCGAGAUUGCGCCACUGCACUCCAGCCUGGGCGACAGAGCGAGACUCCAUCUCAAAAAAAAAAAAAAAAAAAAAAAAAAGUUUUCUGUUCCUGUGCCAUUUGUUCUCCUAAAUUCUUCUUCUGCUGAGAUUUUCUGUGGAGCACAGAAUAGCCCAGUUACGGCCUGCAUCUUCCAACCUUCCUUGCAACUGAGGAGUGUCUGACUAAAUGCUCACCUUUGAUGAUGAGCAAAUAAUGGUGCCAUUUCUCCAUUACUUGCUAUGGAGAAAUGGCGAUUCCUAGGGUUCCUGUAAAAAAGUGUCACAAACUGGGGGAUUAACAACAGAAAUGUACUCCCUCACAGUUCUGGAGGCUGUAAGUCCAAGAUCAAGUUGUCAGUAGGGUUGGUUCCUUCUGAUGAUUGUGAGGGGAAGUCUGUUCCACCCUGUGUCCUAGCUUCAGGUGGUGCGCUGGCAAUCUGUGGCAUUCCUUGGUGUCUCUGCCUUCAUGUUCACAUGGAGUUCUCCCUCAGGUGUGUCCAAAUCCCCCCACCCCUCUUUUUUCUUUUUUUAAUUUGAGAUGGGGUCUCACUCUGUCACCCAGGCUGGAGUGCAGUAGUACCAUCAUGGUUCACUGCAGCCUCAACCUCCCAGGCUAAAGGGAUUCUCCCACCUCAGCCUCCCAAGUAGCUGGGACCUACAGGCAUGUGCCACCACACCCAGCUAAUUUUUUUUUUUAAUUUUUAUUGUUAGUAAAGAUGGGAUCUUGUUCUGUUGCCCAGGCUGGUCUCCAACUUCUGGCUGCAAGUGAUCCUCCCUCCUUGGCCUGGCAAAGUGCUGGGAUUACAGGGCCGCACACAUACAGAGCUGAACUUGUAUCACCGUGUAGAUGAAGACAAACACCUUUAGGAGAUGGCAGAGAAACAAAAUGGGAAACCCUCAGGUCUCCAAAUGACUACAACAAGCAGAAUUGCCCCAUCAGCCUGCACCAUUCAUUUCUAGACUAUGAGCAAGAAGUACACUUCCAUCUUAUUUAAACAAC